GACGAACGCUGGCGGCAGGCCUAACACAUGCAAGUCGAGCGGAGCGGCGGACGGGUGAGUCAUGCCUAGGAAUCUGCCUGGUAGUGGGGGAUAACGUCCGGAAACGGGCGCUAAUACCGCAUAAUAUCCGAUGAGCCUAGGUCGGAUUAGCUAGUUGGUGGGGUAAAGGCCUACCAAGGCGACGGUCGGUGACUGGUCUGAGAGGAUGAUCCGUCACACGGGAACUGAGACCCGGUCCAGACUCCAACGGGCGGAGGCGGUGGUGAAUUUUGGACAAGGGGCGAAGGCCUGUUCCAGCCAUGCCGCGGGUGUGAGGAAGGUCUUCGGAUUUUAAAGCACUUUAAGUUGGGAGGCGUUACCAACAGAAUAAGCACCGGCUAACUUCGUGCCAGCAGCCGCGGUAAUUC
rnacentral:rRNA from 1 species